GUGUUAGCUAGUAGCACAUAUACUAAAACUGAAACAAUACAGAGAGUAUUAGCAUGGUCUCUAUUGUAAGAAUGAUAUGCAAAUUCAAGAAUGUGUUCCAUGUCAUU
ensembl:snRNA U6 U6 spliceosomal RNA